UAGGGGGGUGCCUUCGGGAACCAGAUGACAGGUGUUGCACGGUCGUCGUCAGCUCGUGCUAUGAAGUGUCCCGUUAAGUCGGUUAACGAGCGCAACCCCUGCUGUUUGUUGAAUUUUUCAAACAGGACUGCCGGCGUUAAGUCGGAGGAAGGUGGGGAUGACGUCAGAUCAGCGUGGCUCUUACGUCCUGGGCGACACUCGUGUUACAAUGGGUAGUCACAAAGGGUUGCAAUACCGUAAGGUGGAGCUAAUCCCAUAAAACUACCCCCAGUUCGGAUUGAGGGCUGCAACUCGCCCUCAUGAAGCCGGAAUCGCUAGUAAUCGUAGGUCAGCCAUACUACGGUGAAUACGUUCUCGGGUCUU
rnacentral:rRNA from 1 species